GUUUAUUCAGAGGGGACGGCAGCUCCCUUUUACAGCAAAAUUACAUCAUAAGCAUUGUCAGAGAUAACAUGGAAUAAUACAUCAAUAAUUGGUUAAGUGUUAAGUGUUUUACUCAAAGCACGUCCUACAGGGUGUGCCUUCUUAUGUCAUUACUGUCGUCAUGGAGUUCUCCCCCCGGAUUCCAGCGCCAUCUUGAAAAUUAGAGUGUUUGGUCGAUGGGUGGGGUACUCCUGAGUGACAUCUAGUGGUUAGUUUAGUAAUUUAUUGAAUAAUAUUGAGUAUAACUAAAUGGAGUAAAUAGACAUUUUACUAGCUAAAAAUAUGUCAAUAUUUCAUGUCACCAGGUCCAUGAGGGUCUCCCACGGUUUCCCGUCGCCAUCUUGCUGCACGAGGUAGUUAGUCGGUGUUAAAGGGGCAGGGGGAGGAGGGGGUUAGAAGCUUCUAGCAGCCAUCUUGAUUAGAGCACGUGUGUAUAGCUUUAUAUAUAAUAUAUCGUGGAAUGAGUAAAUAGACAUUUUCACUAACUAGGAAAUAUGUGCAGACCUUAUUUCCACAACAGUCCCCCCUAAAAUGGCUAUAUACCAUAACAACUGCUACUGUCCCUAAUAUGUCCCUAGCUGCCUGCAGCUCAUCUGUCUUAACGAGCAUCGAACACUUCACUCCGUGGGUAACCCGCAGCGGCUAGUCCACCACAUCUCCGCACGUGAGACUCGCCUGUAGAGACAGACGCUUUCCCUAUGCUAUCCCUAUGAAAAUGCAGUUGUCUGUCUGACUUGGUGGGAUUGGAGGGGUGUAUGUGGUGUGUCACAUUCUAGGUCAGUGAUGUCUUAGUGUAGUAAAGUAGGGGUUACGUUGUCUAUAGUCUUCCCUACUGUCUUCUGUAAAUACUUUUGUAUGCAAGGGAGCACGCAACAGGUUAAGAAUAAGAAGAUGAUAAUCAUUAUAAGAACAGCUGUCCCUACCUGGAAGAGGGUCCUUUGCCAACCAUUCAUCCACCCAAACCAUCUGUCCCAAGUGUCAGUGACUCCCGAAUUCUUCUUUAGCUCAUCAGAAAGACUAUCUAGCUUCUCUAUGGCCAUAGUUACCUUACCAUUGGGCCCAGUGUUGUCUGGAAUGAAUGUGCAGCAUGUCAUGGUUUCAGGGAGGAUCUUAUAUACACCCCCCUUCUCGGCUAAAAUCAUAUCUAGGGCCAUUCUGUUUUGAAAUGUCAUUUGGGUGGUGGCUUGUAACUGCUCUGCCAGGCCCUGUAGGGCAUCCCUAGUGUAGUUGACAAAGCGCUGUUGAUUAUAGUAAAUGUAGUUAAUCCAAUUGAUAUUCUUAUUAGCAGUUAUCAUUGGAAUUAAGGAUUCAAAUCCUGCUGCCACUUCAUCCCUUGCUUUGAACUCGCUAGGCACCCCCCUUGGCACACCUAUGGCAUCAAUAUACACAUGGGGGUCGAAGCUCCCUCGGAUGGGAGCCUCUCGUUUGGUUCUAGAAUGUACAUGUGUAAGGUUUAAUGUGUUAUGACUACCAUCUGGAAUAAUGUGGAUAGGCAUUAUAACUUUGGCUAGGGCACACUCCCCCCACCAUUGCCCAGCUAGUUGGGCCCUCAAUUGUCUGUCACCACAUAACCAAUAGAUAUCUCCAAUGAUCUUUGCAUGAUUUAUUAGCAGUGACACAGGUGGGCUAUGGUAGGUUGAGCAAUAUCCAGAUGGAAAUCUGCCCAGAUACACACCAGUAUUCUUAGGUAUAGCAUAACAUGUGUAAUUACCUGGAUACACGGUGACUCCAUCAGGUGGCUUGACAUAUCCAUGAGUGAUUGGGUAAACCCUUUUCCAUGAUUCACAUGUUGAGGAAUUUGUGGUGGACUGUGCAUAGAGGCUUAGGACACAUAAUUCUACUUCGGGAGGUAAACUUAGAGGUACCGUACCCAGAUGGGGCCUAGCUCCUCCACAUACAUAGCAAUUAGUCUUAUUGUGUGAGUUGGCAUUAUACCUCAUCCAUUCUAGCCACAAAUUAGUGUCUGAAAACCCAGUCUCUACCGCCAUAGUGUCUUCAAAGGUGGGAUUGGCUAUAGCUACCAUGUCAUGUAGAGUCUUAAUAUGUGGUUUUAACGGGUUAAUAGUCAUGUGAGUGGUUCCUACCCAGUCUGGUGAGGUGAGCCUUUUUGCUAGGUAUGUCUUUGUAUAUGGCUGCAUAUUGUGUUUGUGGAAAAGGUGCAAACAACUAUGUCACAGUAAUCAAAGGUGUAUGUAGCUACAUAUGUGUUAGAAGAAUUGUACCAGAAAGUGUAAACAUGAUUAUCUUUGGUUAUGACCACUUGUUGGGCCCAGGCAAAGUGUAGCAGCAUAAGAAAACACACGACACAUAAUAAAUUCAUAUUUCCGCAGGAUUAGCCUCUUCUGGAGCAGGCACUUUUUUGCAAUGUGAGGCGUGUAUCCAAGAACUCUUCCCGGCUAGUUUAACUGACGUUGCUGUAAUCAGGAGCACUUGAUAAGGACCAUCAAAUCUCGGUUCUAGGGUGUGUUUCCUGAGAAACUUCUUGACCAUAACCCAAUCACCAGGAAGCAGCUUGUGUGUACCUGUAUUCGACUCAGGAUCUGGAAUAGAAGAAAACACUUGGGCAUGUAUUUUGGUCAAGGCAUGUGAGAGGGCAGUCACAUAGUCUACCAUAGCAUCUGACUGAAUCUGAAGUUGUUGAGGGAAGUAACAACCUAGUCUGGGUGCUGUACCAAAUAAAAUCUCAUAAGGUGAUAGGCUAUAUUUUCCUCUAGGAGUGUACCUCACGCUAAACAACG